rnacentral:rRNA from 1 species
AGUGAACGCUGGCGGUAGGCCUAACACAUGCAAGUCGAACGGCAGCACAGUAAGAGCUUGCUCUUACGGGUGGCGAGUGGCGGACGGGUGAGGAAUACAUCGGAAUCUACUUUUUCGUGGGGGAUAACGUAGGGAAACUUACGCUAAUACCGCAUACGACCUACGGGUGAAAGCAGGGGAUCUUCGGACCUUGCGCGAUUGAAUGAGCCGAUGUCGGAUUAGCUAGUUGGCGGGGUAAAGGCCCACCAAGGCGACGAUCCGUAGCUGGUCUGAGAGGAUGAUCGGCCACACUGGAACUGAGACACGGUCCAGACGCCUACGGGAGGCAGCAGUAGGGAAUAUUGGGCAAUGGGCGCAAGCCUGAUCCAGCCAUACCGCGUGGGUGAAGAAGGCCUUCGGGUUGUAAAACCCUUUUGUUGGGAAAGAAAAGCAGCAGGUUAAUACCCCGCUGUUCUGACGGUACCCAAAGAAUAAGCACCGGCUAACUUCGUG